AAUGAAACGAUGAUGAAGAAAGAUAGAUGUGAAACCAAUAUCAGAGAGCUAGUGGUUGCUGUGAACUAGUUUGGUUCCUUCUUGAAAGCCCUUCGGAGUUCAUGUGCUGAACUUGAUGAAAUAGUAGGUACAUACGGAUAAUCCGUUAUCUUGGAGUUGAUUCUCCCCGAGUUGCGUUAGCAAAAAAUGAGGGUGGUACCGCGGUUUAAACCUUCCGCCCCUCAC
rnacentral:ncRNA from 1 species